GACGAACGCUGGCGGCGUGCUUAAUACAUGCAAGUCGAACGGAAAGGCCCUGCUUUUGUGGGUUGCUCGUGUGGCGAACGGGGGAGUAAAACGUGUGUAUCAUGCCCUUGUCUUUGGGAUAACUUCAGGAAACUGGGGCUAAUACCGGAGAGGAGCUCCUGCUGCAUGUUGGGGGUUGGAAAGAUUCGGCGGUUGGGGAUGGACUCGCAGCUUAUCCGCUUGCUGGGGGAGUAGUGGCAUACCAAGGUUUCGACGGGUAGGCGGCCUGAGAGGGGGGCCAGCCACAUUGGGACUGCGAUACGGACCAGACUCCUACGGGAGGCAGCAGUGGGGAAUAUUGCACAAUGAGCGGAAGCCUGAUGCAGCAGCGCCGCGUGCGGGAUGACGGCCUUCGGGUUGUAAACCGCUUUCGCCUGUGACGAAGCGUGAUUGACGGUAAUGGGUAAAGAAGCACCGGCUAACUACGUG
rnacentral:rRNA from 1 species